rnacentral:rRNA from 1 species
UUAAGUAUUUUAACACUUUUGACCUCG